UACGUAGGGUGCGAGCGUUGUCCGGAAUUAUUGGGCGUAAAGGGCUCGUAGGCGGUUUGUCGCGUCGGGAGUGAAAACCCAGGGCUUAACUCUGGGCUUGCUUUCGAUACGGGCAGACUAGAGGUAUGCAGGGGAGAACGGAAUUCCGUGGUGUAGCGGUGAAAUGCGCAGAAUAAUCGAGGAGGAACACCGGUGGCGAAAGGCGG
rnacentral:rRNA from 1 species